CACCACAGGUCACCGCGAUGGGGGAUCCUUAGCCCACUGAUUGAGGCAGGGAUCGAACUUGCAUCCUCACAGAUACCGGUGGGGUCCGUGACCACUGAGCCAUGACAGGAACUCCCAGGGAUGGAACUCCUGCCGCGUUUGUGGUUCGUGCCACAGCUACAGCAAUGCCAGAUCCUUAGCCUGCUAAGCCGCGAGGGAACUCCCAAGCCGAAUGGUUUUGAACUAGGGAAUGCCCGUGCCCUCUGGGUGGCCCUGUGUCACGGGUCUCGCAGCCCGAGCAUGGCUCCACGGGGCCGCGAGCGAGUGGGGGCGUGCGUCCCGCCUCCUUACCUGUGCCUUGCCCUCGCGACCAGGAGGACGAGCGGUGGGGAGACGCCAGCAACGACGAGGACGACGCGAAGGAGCGGGCCCUGCCCGAGGACCCCGAGACCUGCCUGCAGCUGAACAUGGUCUACCAGGAGGUGGUCCGCGAGAAGCUGGCCGAGGUCAGCCUGCUGCUGGCCCAGAACCGCGAGCAGCAGGUAGGACCGGCCUCGGCCCCCGUCUCUGCGGGGAGUCGCUGCUACCUGGCCCACGGGUGGUCCUUGUGUCCCGCAGGAGGAGGUCUCGUGGGCCCUGGCGGGGUCCGGAGGCCGCAGGGUGAAGGACGGCCGGAGCCCGCCCGCGCGCCUGUACGUGGGGCACUUCAUGAAGCCCUACUUCAAGGACAAGGUCACCGGGGCGGGGCCUCCUGCCAACGAGGACACGCGGGAGAAGGCCGCCCAGGGCGUCAAGGCCUUCGAGGAGCUUCUGGUGACCAAGUGGAAGAGCUGGGAGAAGGCCCUGCUCCGGAAGGCCGUGGUGAGCGACCGCCUGCAGCGCCUGCUUCAGCCCAAGUUACUGAAGCUGGAGUACCUGCAGCAGAAGCAGAGCAGGGCGACGAGUGACGCGGAGAGGCAGGCCCUGGAGAAGCAGGUCCGCGAGGCCGAGAAGGAGGUGCAGGACAUCAGGUGAGGGGGCCCCGCG
rnacentral:lncRNA from 1 species